GCCCGGUAGACAGCGCUGCUCCGGUGUCAACUUCGGCCUCGCUGCGGGUGAGACUGGCUGCUCGGCUGCCACGUAAUCCCAGAGACCAGUGAUAUACGGGGCGGGGGGGGGAGGCUGCAGCCUAAGGAAGGCAGACAGAGUGAGCUGGAAGAAGCCAUAGAGUACAGUGUUUCUGGAAACUGGUGUAAAAAAGAAAAAGGAGCCUUGAAUACAUUUAAAAAAUACAAACAUAUCGCCCGCUUUUACAGCUGCUGCAGAAAGACACUACUGCAACAACAACGAACGAAACGGUGACAGAAGUGACAAUUCAAUCCUGCCAUACACAAGACCACCACUUUGCUCGGUUGACAGCUUUGCGUGCCCGGUCACUGUUCUUUUAG